UACGGAGGGUGCAAGCGUUAUUCGGAAUUACUGGGCGUAAAGCGCGUGUAGGCGGGAAAGCAAGUCUGAUGUGAAAGCCCCGGGCUUAACCUGGGAAGUGCAUUGGAAACUGUUUUUCUUGAGUACUGGAGAGGAAGGGAGAAUUCCCGGUGUAGAGGUGAAAUUCGUAGAGAUCGGGAGGAACACCAGUGGCGAAGGCGCCCUUCUGGACGGCUACUGACGCUGAGACGCGAAAGCGUGGGGAG
rnacentral:rRNA from 1 species